CAUCUUUGUCCGGAGGAGUACAUUUAGUAUCUUGACCUGCAAAAGUAAAAAACCAAUGAUUGCUGCAAAAUAACAACAUAGACCUUUGAGGCAACUGACAAGAGGAACUGCUUUACCAAUUACUUCCAGAAGAGCUUUGGACGUUCCCAUUAACAGUGCAUUAAUGUACCCUUUAUCUUAGGUUCAGAUUACAAAAUACCUUCAACAAACUUUCUGGCUUAAGUGUGCAUGUUCUGAGCUUGCAGGGUUAUGCAUAUUUAUAAUUUGGUUUCACUCAUAGAGGAUUUGGCUCUAAAAUAAAAAUUUGGUCAUCAAAAAGGUGUGUGUGUGUGUGUGUGUGUGUGUGUGUGUGUGUGUGUGUGAGAGAGAGAGAGAGAGAGAGAGAGAGAGAGAGAGAGAGAGUGAAGUGUGUGUGUGUGUGAGAGAGAGGUGUUGGAUGUUGCGGCACGCAGACCACAACGUCUGCGUGCGCGCCAGCAUUGUAAAAAUAGACAGUAUAUAAUAAUUUACACACACUCGCGUGGAUUUUGCCUCCAGUUCAGUUGGUGUUAUUCUCAUGUUUCCAUUCACAGGCAGAAACGAACGGGUCUACAACCAGCCUUUUUGCAAAGUCUUAAACAGAGAAGCGCUACAAUUCCUCGAUAAUCCGCACCGAAUCCUCUAUUUACGAGUACAAAUGUUUACAUGGUUUGCGCAUGCCUCGAGUCACUCGUCAUUUGAAGACGUUAUUUCGUCGUUUAGCUCUUUGUGUGUUAAAUCUGUCAGAGGGGAAUGCUUACUGCAGAAUUAAAACAGACUAAAUAGAAGUUUCUCGAUAGGAAAUAUUUCUAAUUUAUUGUAUAUAAAGUGAGUAACCUCGUCUUUCUUUUUGGAAUGAGUUCAAUAUGCUGAAUAUUGUUUUGUCUUAUUGGAACAUGCAUCUUACUGUAAUAUAGAUGGUUUUUUUCCUUUUGUCUGUCAUGUUCUUUAGAUUCUGUUUUCCAUGUUGUUGUGCCGGCUGUCUGAAUGAUCUGUUCUGAUGUCAGUCCGAUCAGCUCUCUGUGUAUGAUUUGUUUAACGGUAAAGUGUUGGGACAGAGAGGACGAAAAGGUUGGAUUAAACUGAAGCAAUGCUUCUCUGUAACUUAUCAUUUCUAUUUGAAUUAUUGACUCUGUCCCCUUCUGCCCUUACUAUGACUCUCUCCCGCUUCCCGCCCCAGUAUUUACUCUCCUGACUGGAGGAACAAAGUUUCUGGAGUAUUAUUUGCUGUUGAUAAAUAUGGACAGAGCUACACAAGUCACUCCUUUUUUUUUUUUUUAAAUGAGACAAAUGUUAGCCAUGUGGCCACAUAAAGGCUUUAUUAACGAGCAGGCGAACUCCAGUCACUCUGAUCCUCUCCUCCAUGUGAAAUGUUCCCUUCUUGUAUGUUUUCCUCUCUUCUGUGUGUUGUUGUCUCUUGUUUCUUUGUGCGAUGGCACUGCUGAUGCUGGAUUCCUAUUAAAGAGACUUUACAGUA